rnacentral:rRNA from 1 species
UACAGGGGGGGCAAGCGUUGUUCGGAAUUACUGGGCGUAAAGCGCGCGUAGGCGGCUUUGUAAGUCAGAGGUGAAAUCCCGGAGCUCAACUCCGGAACUGCCUUUGAGACUGCAUCGCUUGAAUCCGGGAGAGGUGAGUGGAAUUCCGAGUGUAGAGGUGAAAUUCGUAGAUAUUCGGAAGAACACCAGUGGCGAAGGCGGCGACCUGGGUAGAUACUGACGCUGAGGUGCGAAAGCGUGGGGAGCAAACAGG